UACGAAGGACCCGAGCGUUAUCCGGAUUCAUUGGGUUUAAAGGGUGCGUAGGCGGGCCUAUAAGUCAGUGGUGAAAGCCCUUCGCUUAACGAAGGAAUUGCCAUUGAUACUGUAGGUCUUGAGUAUAGUUGAGGUGGGCGGAGUGUGUCAUGUAGCGGUGAAAUGCUUAGAUAUGACACAGAACACCGAUUGCGAAGGCAGCUCGCUAAACUAUAACUGACGCUGAGGCACGAAAGCGUGGGUAGCAAACAGG
rnacentral:rRNA from 1 species